rnacentral:rRNA from 1 species
UGGGGGAUAUUGCACAAUGGGGGGAACCCUGAUGCAGCGACGCCGCGUGAGCGAUGAAGUAUUUCGGUACGUAAAGCUCUAUCAGCAGGGAAGAAAAAAAGUCCUUUGGACUUUGGACGGUACCUGACCAAGAAGCCCCGGCUAACUACGUGCCAGCAGCCGCGGUAAUACGUAGGGGGCAAGCGUUAUCCGGAUUUACUGGGUGUAAAGGGAGCGUAGACGGCAGCGCAAGUCUGGAGUGAAAUGCCGGGGCCCAACCCCGGAACUGCUUUGGAAACUGUGCAGCUCGAGUGCAGGAGAGGUAAGCGGAAUUCCUAGUGUAGCGGUGAAAUGCGUAGAUAUUAGGAGGAACACCAGUGGCGAAGGCGGCUUGCUGGACGACAACUGACGCUGAGGCUCGAAAGCGUGGGGAGCAAACAGG